AUUGAACGCUGGCGGCAGGCCUAACACAUGCCAGUCGAGCGGAUGAAGGGAGCUUGCUCCUGGAUUCAGCGGCGGACGGGUGAGUAAUGCCUAGGAAUCUGCCUGGUAGUGGGGGAUAACGUCCGGAAACGGGCGCUAAUACCGCAUACGUCCUGAGGGAGAAAGUGGGGGAUCUUCGGACCUCACGCUAUCAGAUGAGCCUAGGUCGGAUUAGCUAGUUGGUGGGGUAAAGGCCUACCAAGGCGACGAUCCGUAACUGGUCUGAGAGGAUGAUCAGUCACACUGGAACUGAGACACGUUCCAGACUCCUACGGGAGGAAGCAGUGGGGAAUAUUGGACAAUGGGCGAAAGCCUGAUCCAGCCAUGCCGCGUGUGUGAAGAAGGUCUUCGGAUUGUAAAGCACUUUAAGUUGGGAGGAAGGGCAGUAAGUUAAUACCUUGCUGUUUUGACGUUACCAACAGAAUAAGCACCGGCUAACUUCGUG
rnacentral:rRNA from 1 species